GAUGAACGCUAGCGGCAGGCUUAAUACAUGCAAGUCGGGCGGCAGCGGGACCUUCGGGUUGCCGGCGAGCGGCGGACGGGUGAGUAAUGCCUAGGAAUCUGCCUGUUAGUGGGGGAUAACGCGGGGAAACUCGCGCUAAUACCGCAUACGUCCUACGGGGGAAAGCGGGGGCUCUUCGGACCUCGCGCUAACAGAUGAGCCUAGGUCGGAUUAGCUAGUUGGUGGGGUAAUGGCCCACCAAGGCGACGAUCCGUAACUGGUCUGAGAGGAUGAUCAGUCACACUGGAACUGAGACACGGUCCAGACUCCUACGGGAGGCAGCAGUGGGGAAUAUUGGACAAUGGGCGAAAGCCUGAUCCAGCCAUGCCGCGUGUGUGAAGAAGGUCUUCGGAUUGUAAAGCACUUUAAGUCGGGAGGAAGGGCUGUAGGCUAAUACCUUGCAGUUUUGACGUUACCGACAGAAUAAGCACCGGCUAACUUCGUGCCAGCAGCCGCGGUAACAC
rnacentral:rRNA from 1 species